GGGAGGUGUGAUAUCGUGGUUCCUGGGAGGUGUGAUAUCGUGGUUCCUGGGAGGUGUGAUCCCGUGCUUCCU
rnacentral:pre_miRNA from 2 species